rnacentral:rRNA from 1 species
UUGGAGGGCAAGUCUGGUGCCAGCAGCCGCGGUAAUUCCAGCUCCAAUAGCGUAUAUUAAAGUUGCUGCAGUUAAAAAGCUCGUAGUUGAAUUUCGGGACUAAUAUGUCGGUCGUGCCUCGGUACGUACUGGUAUUUUUGGUUUCUCCCUUCUGACGAACCUUGAUGUCAUUAAUUUGGUGUCUUGGGAAAUCAGGACUGUUACUUUGAAAAAAUUAGAGUGUUUAAAGCAGGCUCACGCUUGAAUACAUUAGCAUGGAAUAAUGAAAUAGGACGUUUGAUUCUAUUUUGUUGGUUUCUAGGAUUGACGUAAUGAUUAAUAGGGAUAGUUGGGGGCAUUAGUAUUCAAUUGUCAGAGGUGAAAUUCUUGGAUUUAUUGAAGACUAACUACUGCGAAAGCAUUUGCCAAGGAUGUUUUCAUUAAUCAAGAACGAAAGUUAGGGGAUCGAAGACGAUCAGAUACCGUCGUAGUCUUAACCAUAAACUAUGCCGACUAGGGGAUCGGAUGGUGUUAAUUUUUAAUG